rnacentral:lncRNA from 1 species
CGCCAGUCGGCGCUGGCGUAGCUCGGCUCAGCCCGGCGGAGUCUGACUUCCGGAGGGCCAGCGGCGCGCUGGCUGGUUACCAAGGUUACCGCCGAGAGGCCGCGUCCUCAGCUGGUCCUAGACAUGCGUGGCGUCGGGGCUGUGGCACGGUCGGGUCCGGGCUUGAAUGCACCAAGGAAAGGCCAUUUGUGGGGACAUAGCAAGAAGGCAGCUGUCUGCAAGCCAGGAGGAGAACCCUCACCAGAAACCUCACAGAAAUCGGCCAACACCCUCAUCUCGGGCUUCCAGCUUCAGAACAACGAGAAAACAAAUUUCUGUUGUGUCCUGGUUCCCAUUUGUAAUUGGCACCCUAAUGAAACCGUUUUCUGUAGCCCUGGAAAUGGCUGAAAAUGAGGGGAGGGAAAUAAAGUGCUAUAAUUCAGAGCAUGGAGCACACCUUCCUGGUUCACCUGAGCUGGAUUCGGAGAGGUAAAAUGGCCAUUACCUCGUCUAAGCUGCCACUUACAGACACAGUACAGGAUGAGGCCCAGACCCACAGAGACAACGAUGAUGGCCACAGCUAAGAUGAUCCAGAAAUUAUUCCUCCACCAGCUCAUUGCAGUGGAAUCCUGAGAAGAAUGGAGAGAGAAGAAUGAGAGGGCAAAAGCAGAUGGCUACACCGAGAACUCACGCCAGCCCAACACACUUUGAUCUCGAGGCCUCUGGAAGGGAAGGUGCCUAAUGAACUACUGAAAGCCAGAGAUGCAAUGACAAAGGUACCAAGACUGGAGGUGAUCCAGGUCUUUCAUCCAAGAGCCCCAAGACGUAGCCUAAAUUCAUGCUACGGUAAUCCCAGCACUUUGGGAGGCCGAGGCGGGCGGAUCACCUGAGGUCAGGAGUUCGAGAGCAGCCUGGCCAACAUGGUGAAACUCCGUCUCUACUAAAAAUACAGAAAUUAGCCAGGUGUGGUGGCGGGUGCCUGUAAUCCCAGCUACUCAGGAGGCUGAGGCAGGAGAAUCGCUUGAACCCGGGAGGCGGUGGUUGCAGUGAGCCGAGAUCACGUCACUGCACUCCAGCCUGGGCGACAAGAGCGAAACUCCAUCUCAAAAUAAAAUAAAAAUAAAUAAAUUGACACAGUCAGUGCCUCGCUCCCACCCCCACCUCCAGCAUAGCACCAUGACAGUCUUCUCACAUAACAAGUCCCAAAACACACCAUCGGCAUCCAGAAAGUGAGAGUAACUCGUUACAGUUGAGACCUCUCACUCCCGGUCAUUAUCUCAUUUCAAUCCAAGAGGUAGACUUCUUCAUCGCCCCUGACAUACACAUGAGGAAAAGGCCCAGAGAGGUGAAGUGAUGCCUCAGGUCACUCAGCCAGUUACCAGUAGAGCAGAUCCUUCAAUGCAAGUUUUUCUCCAACCCUACACAGCAGUCGUACCAGGGCCCCAGGCUGCAAUCCCCUGGCCCAGUGCUGAUCGGUGGCUCCCAGGGACACGCCCUGAUGCCAGCGCUGGCAGAUGUCUGCUGUGAAGAGAGCAGGAAACUGUCCCUUGGAAAGCUGAGAUGCUUACCUGAACUGUGAAAGUAUCCAUAUGUGAGCAGCUAAGGAGACAGCAGUGGCUGGAGUGCUGCAGCUCAGGCACAGCUGGUGAGAGGCAUUCCUCACUCACAGGCCUUCACCCACUGCUAGAGACAGUGAGCCCCAUCCUGACCACUUCCCCUUUCUAGUCAGCCCACGGGGCAGAGACCCUGGCGUCAUCUCUAGGCAACCAUCCCUUUUCCAGGGAAGCUCAUGACCCACGGCUGUCCAGAAGCCAGAAUCUUCUCACUGCCCCGUGUCGCUCCCGCAAGGCCUACCAGAGGACCCUCAUGGUGUGGUAGGGGGUCCUGGCAGGGGCCAGGGGCCAGGGUGGAGACUUGGCAGUGGGGGUGGGUUUGGUGUCCCCACAGACGAGUUUGCCGUGAGCAUUCCUGGAUGUGGCAACCUCAGUCUCAAGAAGAGCGACAGGACGCCAGCUCCCAUGCAGAGACAGAUCCAGGUAAGAAACCAGCUCAUGUGUGACAAACUCACCAUCUCACCAUGAAGGUGACUCUUGAAAGCUCCUGUGCACCUUGGAACUGCUGAGACAUCUUCUGCUUGGAGGAGGCAAGGGACAGGCUUCCUGUUUCUAAAGGCGUGUGAGUGGCGACCUUGAGAAAUGUGGCCAGUGGAGCAUUUUGACUGAGUUGGGUCCCCUCGUGCAAUACUGUGAGACAGAACUCCCAGCGAGGCCCACGGCCUCUGACCAUGGGGGUUGGAGUGGGGAAACCAAUUAGCCAUUUUGUUGAAUUGGCUGGUUCUGACUCAAAUGAGCAGUCACAUUAGUAAAAAUAGGCAAACGGAUGUGCAUUGUAUUUGCCCAGAGCGAAUGAGUUGUUAUCCAUUUCAGUAAUAAUGAUAACCAGAUAUGUCUGAUAAAUAUCUGAUAAUGUCUGAUAUAUGUCUGGUAAAUUUAACAAACACCGGGCUCUGGCUGGGUGCGGUGGCUCACACCUGUAAUCCCAGCACUUUGGGAGGCCAAGGCGGGUGGAUCACCUGAAGUCAGUAGUUCGAGACCAGCCUGGCCAACAUGGUGAAACCCCAUCUCUACUAAAAAUACAAAAAUUAGCUGGGCAUUUUGGUGUGAACCGGUAGUCCCAGCUACUCAGGAGGCUGAGGCGGGAGAAUUGCUUGGACCCGCGAGGUGGAGGUUGCAGUGAGCCAAGAUCACACCAUUGCGCUCCAGCCUGGGCAACAGAGCAAGACUCUAUCUCAAACAAACAAAACAAAACAUCUGGCUCAGAAGAUUCCUGAUUUGCA